ACUCUAGUAUUGACCUUAAUCUACAUGUAUUGAGGCGGAUUGGGGUAUAAUUUAGUUUAAAUUACACCAUAAUACACCUCAAUACAUGUGGAUUGAGGUCAAUACUAGA
rfam:Zea mays cultivar B73 chromosome 1, whole genome shotgun sequence.